GUGGUCCGAUUAAGCGGG
rnacentral:miRNA from 1 species